rnacentral:hammerhead_ribozyme from 1 species
GUAUAGUUGACGAGUCCUAAAUAGGACGAAACGCGCGUCAUGGAU